UCAGUUGUAGCCCAGUGGUUAAGAUGUCAGACUACUGAUCAGAGGGUCAUGAGUUCAAUCCCCAGUACUACUAAG